UACGGAAGGGGCGAGCGUUGUUCGGAAUUACUGGGCGUAAAGGGCGCGUAGGCGGCCUUCUAAGUCAGGCGUGAAAUCCCCCGGCUUAACCUGGGAACUGCGUCUGAUACUGGGAGGCUUGAGUAUGGGAGAGGGAUGUAGAAUUCCAGGUGUAGCGGUGAAAUGCGUAGAUAUCUGGAGGAAUACCGGUGGCGAAGGCGGCAUCCUGGACCAUUACUGACGCUGAGGCGCGAAAGCUAGGGGAGCAAACGGG
rnacentral:rRNA from 1 species